GGUGCCUUGUCCGAGCGGCCUAAGGAGCACGGCUGGAAUCCGUGUAUGCGGGGUAACUUGCAUCAGGGGUUCAAAUCCCCUAGGCACCGCCA
rnacentral:tRNA from 2 species